AGUCGCACGGGCAGGGCAACCUGUCAGUGGCGGACGGGUGAGUAACGCGUAGGAAUCUAUCCUUGGGUGGGGGACAACCGUGGGAAACUACGGCUAAUACCGCAUGAUCCCUGAGGGGCAAAGGCGAAAGUCGCCUGAGGAGGAGCCUGCGUCUGAUUAGGUAGUUGGUGGGGUAAAGGCCUACCAAGCCUGCGAUCAGUAGCUGGUCUGAGAGGAUGAUCAGCCACACUGGGACUGAGACACGGCCCAGACUCCUACGGGAGGCAGCAGUGGGGAAUAUUGGACAAUGGGCGAAAGCCUGAUCCAGCAAUGCCGCGUGGGUGAAGAAGGUCUUCGGAUUGUAAAGCCCUUUCGGCGGGGACGAUGAUGACGGUACCCGCAGAAGAAGCCCCGGCUAACUUCGUGCCAGCAGCCGCGGUAAUACGAAGGGGGCUAGCGUUGCUCGGAAUGACUGGGCGUAAAGGGCGCGUAGGCGGUUUACAUAGUCAGGCGUGAAAUUCCCGGGCUCAACCUGGGGACUGCGCUUGAUACGUGUAGACUUGAGUGAGGAAGAGGGUCGUGGAAUUCCCAGUGUAGAGGUGAAAUUCGUAGAUAUUGGGAAGAACACCGGUGGCGAA
rnacentral:rRNA from 1 species